CCCAGACUCCUACGGGAGGCAGCAGUGGGGAAUAUUGCACAAUGGGGGAAACCCUGAUGCAGCGACGCCGCGUGAGUGAAGAAGUAAUUCGUCAUGUAAAGCUCUAUCAGCAGGGAAGAAAAUGACGGUACCUGAGUAAGAAGCCCCGGCUAACUACGUGCCAGCAGCCGCGGUAAUACGUAGGGGGCAAGCGUUAUCCGGAUUUACUGGGUGUAAAGGGAGCGUAGACGGCAGUGCAAGUCUGGAGUGAAAGGCGGGGGCUCAACCCCCGGACUGCUCUGGAAACUGUACGGCUGGAGUGCAGGAGAGGGAAGUGGAAUUCCUAGUGUAGCGGUGAAAUGCGUAGAUAUUAGGAGGAACACCAGUGGCGGAGGCGGCGUACUGGACUGUAACUGACGUUGAGGCUCGAAAGCGUGGGGAGCAAACAGGAUUAGAUACCCUAGUAGUC
rnacentral:rRNA from 1 species